CGCUCUUGUUUCUCUUCAUAAUGUAUAAAUCUUUCGCCUUUUACUAAAGAUUUCCGUGGAGGGGAACAACAAGAGUUUAUUCCAAUUUUGGGAACAGCAGUGGCGCAGUGGU
ensembl:snRNA U5 U5 spliceosomal RNA